rnacentral:lncRNA from 1 species
UAUAUGUUAGAAAACUGCUAUGUGCCAGACACUGUGCUAAGUUCUGCGGAUAAAAUGGUGAAAAAGACACACCUGGUCUUGGCCCUGCUGGAGCUCACCAUGGAGAUAAUUAUGACGCAGCUGGACAGCUGCCAAGGGUAGGCAGUGCAGGUACAGCAGGAGCAGAGGAGGAGCCCUGAGUGGGAAGGAAAGUGCUCCAGGCAGAGGGAACAGCCAGGCCAAGCCUGGAGGCGAGAGGGAUUAUGGUCUCUUGGAGAAGGAGACAAAGAGGCUGGGUUUGAUUGCAGCUGUGGAAGUAGGCAGGGCAUGGUGGCAGAUGAGGCUGAUGCUGAGGCUUCAUCCCGCUUCUCAGCGGAAGAUAAUGCGAGCAUCUGAGCUGCAGAAGGACCACGGUCCCACCGCCCAGGGGCAACCACUGUCAAUAUUUCCAUCUAAUCCCAGGAGGGGGAGACACACUGUGCUGCAGGAGCCACCUGGGGCAGCACCAGGUCAGUCAGGAGGCGGAAGGAGGGGAGUGCUGUGGAGGAGAGCCUUGAUUGCGGUGUCCGUGGAGGAAUGGCUGAGCCGGGCCAGCAGGCUGAGGACUGGCUAGCUGGGGUGAUUUCAGAGGGCUCUUGGACACAGGGGCUGUCCCUGGUUGUCCGGUAGCAGGCCCGGGAUUGGUUGGUCUGUAUUUGAGAGGUGUGCUGGCAGGCAUGCGGUUCACUCUCUGUGGAGUUAGCUAUCCCUGGGAGGGGCAGUUCCUCCGGGGUGAGCACGGCCCCUGAUGUCAAAGCGUCAGGAUACAGAAAAUAAAAGGCGUCCAUACAUCCUUUAGAUCCGGCUACCGGGGCAGCCACAGUGUAUUCUACUCUGCUUCUCAGGACAGAGACUUGAACAUAAAAGGUGCGAUGUACUUCCAACAGCAGGGUAGGAAGUUUGCCUCAGAGGAGCAUAGGGUGAGAAAUGGGACGCAGGAUGGUCUGGAAGCCCUUCCUAGGCCAGCCCACCAGCCAGCCAGAG